rnacentral:sRNA from 1 species
GUGUCUGUGUGUCUGUGUAUGUAUCAGAAUGGAACCACAAAGCCUGGACCCUCUAAAUGCAAAGAAACCUUAGGUGGGGAUUAUGGAAAACCAUGCUGGUGCUUGGUCCCUUCCUCCUCAGUGGAGCUCAGUGUAGGCCAGGCAGUCUUAAAUACUUUUCCUCUAUCCUCUACCAAGUCCCACUCACCUGGAGGACAAAAACCUCCCAGGCAAAGCCCACAGGGAUCUUUUGCCUUUGUUCCUCCUCACCUAGGCACUCCUGGGCACAUGGCACAAGCCUGUAUGCUCCUUCCCAUCCUAGACCAUGAAGUCACAGUUGGGGUCUCUCCUUGUUGGAAUUCUCUCUGUGGCUCUGCGGCCCUGAAGAGAGUGACGAGGUGUGCAGACUUGAGGUGAGUGACACUUAUAGUGCCUUCUGAGUUGGAGGAAGAUGAUUAUUCAAAACAGCAUAGGACUAUCCACGCUGAUCAUGAAUACAUUGAGCUAUGAGUGGUCCAGGUUGCCAUAGUAACUCCCACAGGUGGGCUGGCUUUGACCAACUGAAAUUUACUGGUUGACAAUGGAGAGAUUACUUGCUUAUCCUAAACACUUUCAUUUUCUUCUGGCGUUUGUACACAGUCCUCCUUCUGGGUAUCUAUAACCUAAUUCUCCCUUCUCAUGAUGACGACAGGCUGAUUGAAUGGGAGGCCACCCUACCUCUCGCCACCUCAGUCACCUCUGAAUACCAUCUCAUCCAAAAAAGCACUGCACAUUAGGCCGUCAAUAUACAAAUUUGGACGGAGACAUAAUUUUAGUCCCUAAUAGUCACACGGUAAGUACCUAACAACUUUAGACCCUCCCCUUUUCUCUAGACCCUCCCUCGUCACACACACCCCUCACUAGCUAGAAUGAAGCUUGAGGGGAAGACCUAGAAAAUCAGUUGCUUCUAGGUCAGUGUUCUGGAGGAAGCUUUUGAAGGGAGCAACUGGUAAGCUGUCUCCCUGGUUCAUGGGGGCCCCCAAGUACCUUGCAGUGUGUAUGCGGAUUGGCUACUCUGCCUUGUGGCUGUGACCCCAGCCUUCAGGUAAGAAUCCUCCAUAUAGGAUUCCCAUCCCCACCACGGCAGCUGAUGCCACUUAUGCUUCGGUUCUGGGGAGUGGGGGAGACCCCACUCCUUCCAGGCCUGCCCCGGGCACUUGUGAUCUCAUAAGACAGAAGAGGCCACAGGCAGGCCUCAAUGGAGAUGGGCUUAAGGCACCAGCAACCAGAGGCUGCCAGAGGCCUCCUGCAGCCAUUUCACGACUGCCUUCAUCCUUGUCACUAAUGAGCCUUCGAUUCCAGGAAACUCUGAAAGGAAGAAGGGACACCUGCAUCCUGUUGGGAGAGAGCCCUGACGUAGUGAAAAAGCACAAUGAGACAGAGCUAGGAGUGGCACAGGCCAGAUGAGGGUCACGAGGGCUCAGGAGAAGAUGGUGACCCAGCUGAGUCUGGAAUGGGGAGGAUACUACAGCUGAAUGCAAGCCGGAGGCCCAGAAACAGGACACACACGGUACAGGGGCCAAUUUCCAUGUAACCAGGUGAGCCACAGCCUGAGCAGAAGACCAAGUCCUCUUAAGCGGAGGCCGGGGCUUUGAACACACCUGAGAGGGUGCUCAAAGCCUGUCUGCCACCAGGCAUCUCUACAGACAGACCCCGAGUGGGAGAGGCCAGUCUGUUCUCUCUCGGCCCCUACACCUCUGCUGUGUCUGAACUAAACCCUGCCCUGCAGCUUGGCAGCCCCAAACACUCUGCCCACUGUCAGCAUUACUGCUUUCCAGGAAUCUCCUGUUUUUCAAACUAUUUUUGCCAAGAUGUGUUUUUUUUGCAAACUCCUGGGCCCACCUCCCUUCCCCUCAGUUGAACUGAUGAAACCAUUCAUCUUCCAGCCCCAAGCAGACUCCCUGACACCCCACCCUCACUCCAACUCACUCCAGGUUCUGGCCAAGAACCAGAAGUCCUAGAUGUGGAAGGCAGGCCUGUUUGUCUCCACCAGAGCUGGCGGCACCGAGGGGCUGUGGUCUGCUCGCCCCCUGGCAGUGCACACACUGGCAGACACUCCCCAGGGUACACACUUGUACUGCAAGCUACGUGUUCUGGCAAGAAACAGCAAAGACUCAUUUCCGUCUAUAUUUUGACAGAGAUUAAGGGCAAAGGCCUUUUCUAAAUCAUUCUCCAAAGAGCCAUACUUCAGACUCGUUCUGCAGCUCAGUGUCUCCCGCCCCACAGAAGCCCAUCAAUACUCAUCAAUACGGUAGAUAUUUGUUCAAAUUCCAUAGUGAGUGCAGGUUGGCGAUGGAGGAAGGGCUUCAGGCUUGAUCAUGCCUGGUGCCUGGCUAUUGUUUUAACUCAACUGUGCAAGAAAACCAUGGUGUUUACCAGCCCACAGCCAUCCUUCAGCAGACCCCACAGACACCUAAGGAUGGAAGAUAUAUUGAGUUAUGGAGUAUGAAAUAUUAUCAGAGUUUGGUGUCUAUUAAUGUCUUAAGGAGAAUUCCAUCCUAUGGGAAAAUCUAAAAAUCCCAUAGCAAGUACAUAGAUCCCACUCACUUUCCUUCUCCCUGUCCCCAGAUACCUCCUGGUUUAGUUACCCAAGAGCAGCCACGGUUGUCUCUGCUGCCUCGAGCUAUCACAAAGGUACCACUCCGGGACACGGGUUGAAGACACACAGCCUUUUAACAUGACAUUUAACUGAGAGUUGGUGCCAAAGAGUCCUUGUGAGGAAGAGUCUCACUGUAUUCGGGGCAGCUAGAGUCAACCCACGCGCCUCCCUCUGGGGCUCAAAGGACUUGGGUUGUGGGACCUGCAGGCACCACCGUCAUCACCGACAGUCUCUUAUCUUAAAAUCCGAGCCCAUCACAAAUGGUGGGAACUCGGAGUGGAGGAAGGAGUGCGAGCUGCCAGAGUGGAGAGCAAUGAAGAUCUCCCCCAGGGACAGGAGCGCCCUUGGCCUGUGCCAUUGGCAAGGAGAAUGUGCCUGUGACUUAAAGAUCCACAGUGUGCGCGCAGUCUGCGGUCCUGGCAACGUGGUAGGCCCUGGGAGCGUGAUGAGGAAGAGGACACACACAACCACCUUGCUCACGUAGUUUCUGUGUUAGAUACCUUCAGCUUUUCUAAAGCACAGCCUCCCAGAGGACAGCUUGGAUUCUAACAGUCUCUUAAGGACGGCUCAGUCUCCAUUCCAAUAUGACAGACAAGUGUGUGAAGGGAAGGUGGAUGAUGGCUGCCAUGAAUUAGAAGAAGACAUCUUUGACCUCACCACUCAAGAACUCCCCAGCCAUAUUCUUUAAGUUGAUUUCUCCUUGCCUCAUCACCAAGGUUCAUAGCAUUGAGCUGGAACUAAUGAUGGAUAAAGAGGAGGCUACUUCUGUGUGGCCAGGGUAGUGCUGGGGUAGCCUGUGAGAGGUCUGUUCAAGAGACUUACAUUUUCUCAAAUUCUUUCAAAUUACCAAUAACCACCCUGUGCCCCAACCAUCAACUCUGGGUGGUUAUUAGCAUUGGUUCUGGUCUCUAACCUCUCCCUUUACUGUUAACCCAGUGCUAAGCCCUCCACACCAUUGAGGAAAUGACCCAGAGGCAAGAGUAGGACCUAGUCCAGACUACAGCUCCACAGGGAACUGUGUCAAGCCAAAGCUCCUGGGACAACUGGGAAACCUUUGCCUGUCGGUCCCUUAAUGCCCAGCUAAGUGGUCAGAUGACAGACAGGUAAGCAGGGGUCACCACCAGUGCGGUAUUAGGUGUCUUCCUCUGUAUGGGGUCUGAGUGAGAGAUUGGUAUAGACAUUCUUCUUUAAUGUCCCCAGGCAAGGAUUCCACUAACAGUGAUGCUGCGGGCUUCUGUCGAAAUCAAACUGUUGUUCACUGUUUGAAGUUCCUCUACAUUGUAUGAAGCAAUAGUUUUUCAAGUUGCAUCUUGUCCUGAAGGACUCCAUUUUACAAAUGAAGGACCACAGGGACUCUGAACUUCACUGUCUAGCACCAACCACAAGGCACAGACUGAUUAAUGACAUAUUCUCAAAAGUGAACACAUUAUCACUCUACAAAUGUAUCAGAGCAUCUUGAGACCAUAUGAGCCCAUGGACAUACAAAAAUCACAGUAAGAAUACCAGGCCUGAGAGCUAAUCGAACACACCAGAAGAAGAACAACAGUUCCCACCAACCCCUGUUAGGCUUCACACUACUGCUGCUAAGUUCAUCUUGAACUGCCUCCCAUCUGUCCACCUGAUGGUUCAUCUAGACCCAGUCCAUCCCUUUGUCUCUACGGCCUCCACAAUCACACUCUUCACAUGGGCAGCUCAGGCUGACCUCAGACGCAACUUAGCUCUGACACACCCUGUAGAUCUGUAAGAGGUUAAUUACAUGAUUCCAACAGAGGCUUGCUUUGCUUCUGUGCUUCCCCCCACCCCCCUACCCUCGCUUUGGCCUUUCAGUAAAGUCACCUCCUUGAGCUAUAUUUCUUUAACUAUUUUCAACUAUUUUGUGACCUACAGAAGGAGAGAGAGAGAGAGAGAGAGAGAGAGAGAGAGAAAGAGACAGAGAC